rnacentral:rRNA from 1 species
GCCCGCACAAGCGGCGGAGCAUGNGGAUUAAUUCGAUGCAACGCGAAGAACCUUACCAAGGCUUGACAUGUGCCAGACCGGAUCAGAGAUGGUCUUUCCCUUCGGGGCUGGUUCACAGGUGGUGCAUGGUUGUCGUCAGCUCGUGUCGUGAGAUGUUGGGUUAAGUCCCGCAACGAGCGCAACCCUCGUUCCAUGUUGCCAGCACGUAGUGGUGGGGACUCAUGGGAGACUGCCGGGGUCAACUCGGAGGAAGGUGGGGAUGACGUCAAAUCAUCAUGCCCCUUAUGUCUUGGGCUUCACGCAUGCUACAAUGGCCGGUACAAUGGGUUGCGAUACUGUGAGGUGGAGCUAAUCCCUAAAAGCCGGUCUCAGUUCGGAUUGGGGUNUGCAACUCGACCCCAUGAAGUCGGAGUCGCUAGUAAUCGCAGAUCAGCAACGNUGCGGUGAAUACGUUCCCGGGCCUUGUACACACCGCCCGUCAAGUCACGAAAGUUGGUAACACCCGAAGCCGAUGGCCUAACCACCUUGUGUGGGGGGAGUCGUCGAAGGUGGGAUCUGGCGAUUGGGA